AACGAACGCUGGCGGCAGGCUUAACACAUGCAAGUCGAACGAGAAGUAUGACUUCGGUUAUAUGGACAGUGGCGCACGGGUGAGUAACGCGUGGGGACCUACCAUUCUGUAGAGGAUAACUAUUGGAAACGAUAGCUAAUACUGUAUACGCCCUUCGGGGGAAAGAUUUAUCGCAGAUUGAUGGACCCGCGUCUGAUUAGCUAGUUGGUGAGGUAAGAGCUCACCAAGGCGACGAUCAGUAGCUGGUUUGAGAGGAUGAUCAGCCACACUGGGACUGAGACACGGCCCAG
rnacentral:rRNA from 1 species